rnacentral:rRNA from 1 species
GACGAACGCUGGCGGCGUGCUUAAUAAAUGCGAGUCGAACGGGGAUAGUCUGCUUCGGCGGUCUUCGGACCAAUGAUUGGGCUAUUCUAGUGGCGAGCGGGUGAGUAACACGUGGGUAACGUGCCUCGGCGUCUGGGACAACAGCGGGAAACUGCUGCUAAUACCGGAUGGUAUCGGUGGGGGGCCUCCCCUGCCGAUUAAAGGCGCAGGUCGCGCCGAGAUCGGCCCGCGGCCCAUUAGCUUGUUGGUGAGGUAACGGCUCACCAAGGCGAUGAUGGGUAGCCGGUUUGAGAGGAUGGCCGGCCACACUGGGACUGAGACAUGGUCCAGACUCCUACGGGAGUUAGCAUUAGGGAAUCUUGCACAAUGGGCGAAAGCCUGAUGCAGCGACGCCGCGUGGGUGAUGAAGGCCUUAUGGGUCGUAAAGCCCUGUCAGGAGAGACGAAUGCCCCCGCUGAGGGGGAGUGACGCUAUCUCCAGAGGAAGCCCCCGGCUAACUACGUGCCAGCAGCCGCGGUAACACGUAGGGGGCCAGCGUUGUCCGGAUUUACUGGGCGUAAGAGCGC